rnacentral:lncRNA from 1 species
GAACCCCCUGCCCUAAGUCUGCUUCUACUGGUUCUGUGGACUCUCCAGUCUGUCUUAUUGUUUCUGAGACAAGGUCUUGCUCUGUUGCCCAGGCUGGAAUGCAGUGGCAUGAUCAUGGCUCACUGCAGCCUUGAUUUCCUGGGCUCAAGUGAUCCUCCUACCUCAGCCCUCUGAAGAGCUGGGACUACAGACAUGAGCCACCAUGCUUGACUAAUUUUUCAGUUUUUGUAAAGACAGGGUCUUGCUAUGUUGCCCAGACAUUGCACAGUUCAAAGUUCACAGACGUGAAUUGUGAAGAUUCUUCUAGAUGGAAAUAUCUCAGCUCAUAAUCCUCGAAAGAAUAAGUGCCUGGAGCUU